GGAGGGAUCAUUACAGAGUUGAAAGACUCCCAACCCUUGUGAACAUACCCGUUAACGUUGCUUCGGCGGGCGGCCCCAGGGCGGGGCCGCAGCCUCCUCGCGAGGCGCCCGCCGGAGGUAUCUAAACUCUUGUAUUUUAUGUCUUCUCUGAGUUGUCUUUUAAAUAAGUCAAAACUUUCAACAACGGAUCUCUUGGUUCUGGCAUCGAUGAAGAACGCAGCGAAAUGCGAUAAGUAAUGUGAAUUGCAGAAUUCAGUGAAUCAUCGAAUCUUUGAACGCACAUUGCGCCCGCUAGUAUUCUAGCGGGCAUGCCUGUUCGAGCGUCAUUUCAACCCUCAAGCACUGCUUGGUGUUGGGGCCCUACAGUCUUCUGUAGGCCCUGAAAACUAGUGGCAGGCUCGCUAUAACUCCGAGCGUAGUAGAAACACCUCGCUUAGGACGUGAUGGCGGGCUCUCGCCGUUAAACCCCCCAAUUUUCUGAAGGUUGACCUCGGAUCAGGUAGGAAUACCCGCUGAACUUAAGCAUAUCAAUAAGCGGAGGAAAAGAAACCAACAGGGAUUGCCCUAGUAACGGCGAGUGAAGCGGCAACAGCUCAAAUUUGAAAUCUGGCUUCGGCCCGAGUUGUAAUUUGUAGAGGAUGCUUUUGGCGCGGUGCCUUCUGAGUUCCCUGGAACGGGACGCCAUAGAGGGUGAGAGCCCCGUAUAGUUGGACACCAAGCCUCUGUAAAGCUCCUUCGACGAGUCGAGUAGUUUGGGAAUGCUGCUCAAAAUGGGAGGUAAAUUUCUUCUAAAGCUAAAUACCGGCCAGAGACCGAUAGCGCACAAGUAGAGUGAUCGAAAGAUGAAAAGCACUUUGAAAAGAGGGUUAAAUAGCACGUGAAAUUGUUGAAAGGGAAGCGCUUAUGACCAGACUUGUUCCCGGUUGAUCAUCCAGUGUUCUCACUGGUGCACUCUGCCGGGAUCAGGCCAGCGUCGGUUCUCGUAGGGGGAUAAAAGCUUCGGGAACGUGGCUCCUCCGGGAGUGUUAUAGCCCGUUGCAUAAUACCCUUAUGGGGACCGAGGUUCGCGCUCUGCAAGGACGCUGGCGUAAUGGUCAUCAGCGACCCGUCUUGAAACACGGACCAAGGAGUCGAGGUUUUGCGCGAGUGUUUGGGUGUAAAACCCGCACGCGUAAUGAAAGUGAACGUAGGUGAGAGCUUCGGCGCAUCAUCGACCGAUCCUGAUGUAUUCGGAUGGAUUUGAGUAAGAGCGUAUAGCCUCGGACCCGAAAGAUGGUGAACUAUGCCUGUAUAGGGUGAAGCCAGAGGAAACUCUGGUGGAGGCUCGCAGCGGUUCUGACGUGCAAAUCGAUCGUCAAAUAUGGGCAUGGGGGCGAAAGACUAAUCGAACCAUCUAGUAGCUGGUUACCGC
rnacentral:misc_RNA from 1 species